GCAGAGGCAUUUCCGGGCGAGACGACGGCGCCUGGGCGGGCCUUCCGGCGUUCUCUUCCGGCGGCAUUUUGUGAACUUGGAAAGGCGGCGUGCGGCAGCCGUCGGAGUCCUGGGCCGGCCUGGGCGGGAGACCGCCGUGCCCGCUGCUCUGAGGCGGGUCGAAGGCUCGUGGCGGGCCCAGCGGGCAUCACUCGGGCUUGCUCUGCUGCUGGGCCGGCCUGCGGACACGGAGCCUGGUACCUCUGCUCCCGGCCCCGCCCCGCCCACUGACUCCGGCGGGCUCCGUUUGAGGUAAAGGGCUGGGUCCUGCGGGCCCUCACACAGCUCUUCUUACUCGGCUUCCAAGCUUCAUACUUUUGUUCUUUUGCAUGUCCUCUUAAUGUUGUUGGCACGGAGAUGAGCCACCUUCUCAGCAGGAUAUGCCAUGGGAGUAUCUGUCUACCCAGAAGGCCUAUUCCUGGAAGAUGGGUAGACUGGGCACAGAAGAUGAUUUGCAUCUUAGCUGAGGACCUGCACCAGCAAAUCCUGGGCAGAAGCUGUGUGGAGCGUAUGGGGAAUCUCACAGGUUACCGGGAGCAGCACCGCAGAGAGAAACUCUUCAGAAAGGGCGGGACAUGCCUCCUGCAUGCAGAGCUGCCCAGUCAGUGUGUCAGAGGAGCCCUUCCCCUGCCAGGAGGUGGCUUUCCGCCGUGGCCCUCCAGCACCAGCCUGCCCACAGCUGAGGGUGCAGGACUGUCACUUUGGAUCAGGCGCAGUGAAUGCAGGGAAGCCUUGUCACAUAGACUUCUCAGCACCAGCAUCCACACUAGAGAAAGAGGCCCUAUGAGUACAACGAAUGUUGGAAAACCUUCAGCUACAACAAACCUACUGUCCAGCAGCAGCCAGCAUAAGUGGAUGUGGCUUGUGGCCUAAAGCUCCCAUUCUCAAACCACCGGAGUCCAGGCUGGAGCACGCACAGUGCAAGGGAUGUAGGCGGUUGUUUCAGUCAGAGCUUCAGCCUCCCUGAACACCAGAGAAUUCACACUAGUGUAUGAGCACAUUGAAUGUGGAGAAAGGUCAUGCUAGAGCAUGUGGCCUCAUGAGUGCAGUGACUGGGGGAAAAGCCUUCAGUCCAAGGUCUAAGCUCUUAGCUAAAGUUCACACUUGAGAAGGCCUCACUGGCCCUCACAGACUGAUGCAGGUAGGUCACAAGCUGCAUGUUUGACACAACCCGAGAGGGGCAUCAACUUGAAGUUGACACCGUACAGUCCUAAUGAGAGAUUGUCUGUGAGCACAGGUUUCUCAGAGCUUCUAGAACUACACUGUACUGAACCUGCUCAGUCAGCUCGCUUUACAUGGCAGCAGGCUUUCCACGAUAGACGCCACCUCCUCGGCUCAGUGUAUAAGCUCUGCUGGCUGUCCCCUGCCCUCAGCCCUGGGGUGCUGUCAUUCUCUCCCAUCUGACUGGCCCCAUAGCACUAGGAUGGGCACCUAACAAGCCUUCUGACCAAGAGCCCAGCCUGCAUUUUGCUGAGGUUCUAACCUUCCACAGCCACUUUGGUUUCAUGAGUUGCUCAUGAUUUUAUUAGCCUCCACGUCAACCUUUGUAGGAAGUAUUUGGCUCAGUUUGGGGUGGUUUGUGCAAUAAGGACCUUAAUCAUUAAAGCCAUUUUUAUCUUGGGGCUUCUAGUCAGCUGGUAAUGUUGAAAACAGGUGGACUCUGCGAGGAUAAAGAAGCGAACAAGCUCUCUCAGGCCUCACCUCAGUGAGAGAUCGUGGCAGAGAAGUCACCAAGGUUUGCUGGAGCUAGACUGCAGAGUUUUGUAUCUAAUGGAAGCCAAUUUGUGGGCCCAGAGGGUCCCCCUGAGAGGAUUGUUGUAAGAACCACCGCUGUUUUAGAGAGGGCAUAUAAGCCAUCUGGUGUCACUGAUUCCUCUGGGCAUCAGGUAGGGGGCCUAACACACCACAGGGGAAUGUCUAUCCUAAAUUUGCAUCCAGAAACGUCCCAAUGACUGUUUAGGAUAAAGCCUUUUGUCAAAAUUCUCACACCCUGGCAAGCGUAAAGGUUAAGCUUUUACACCUCCAGUGGCAUGCCAACUGGGGACUGAGAGUGGAAACACGUAGUCCAGACAUGUGAUUUUCGUGACUAGCAGAGUUCCUGGUAACUGAAAUGGAAACCCUGUUAGCAGUGCUCACUGCUCCGUGCAGCAGGGCCUCCCUCCCCUCCAGAGUUAAAAGGCGAGAUUGCUUUAUAAUUUUUCACAUGCAGCUUUGCAAUUUUAACAUUGUAAUUCCGGUACCCAUUCUUGUAUUUGUGGCCCUUCCUCCCUGAACUCCCAGGGCAUUUGAUUACUUUUUCAAUAUUCAGUUGGUGCUUUCUGGACUCUUGGUAAUUGGAAUCUUAGUCUGUUUACUGUAUUUUUUUACUCACCUUUUGUGGGUACAUAGUUUAUUGAGAAUCAUCCAAAAAAUGAAGAUGUACUUCUUUUAAUUCCCAUAAAACACCUUUUGUUCCUCUAAUCAACUAACCACUCCCAUUUUUUAAUGGGUUGGGGUUUUUGGUGUUCAGGUUCAACUAGCACCUAUGACUGUAAGACUAGAUUGUACUGUAAUAGAAACAUAGGCCACAACAUAACUUUAGUCUCUAUUAAAAUUCCCCAUGACUUUAAGGUGUAGACAGUUAAUAAAAACACCUUUGUUCGUACUAUUGUUUCCCAUUUCCCCCUCAUUAAAUACUUAAACUGUGGCCAAUUUCCCACAGAGAACAUGAUUAAGUCAUCAAAUGUGAAUUUGGAAAGAGAUGUGUGUGCAAGAGGUCGUGGCACCACCAUUAUAACCUGAGAAACACAGGAAUUAGUAAAAUAAUUAUGAAAGAAAUGACUUUGAGUUUACUGUGCAAUGAAGAGCAUGUCGCACUGCCGAGAAGGAAGCUGACAGGAGCUCUCCUGGCCUCUGCCCAGACAUUGUCCAGCCUGUGUCCUCACAAUAGAACUUUGCCGAGUUCUGAGAGUUCUCGUGAAAACCUGAGCUGGUCUUGGGGAUUGAAGAACUAAGACUACCUUUGUGUAUACCUCACUUUAAAAAUAAGGUGCACUGUUUGAUGACAAAACCAAAAGUUCUUUUGUGUCAUUUGUAUGACUCAUCCCCCUUCAAAAGGAAUGUAUUGGAAAUGCCAGGAACCCAGCUCCUAUAUUUUUUCAUCAUAUACCUAAUUAGAUGUGUUCUCUCACCACCACCCCCUUACACAUAAACAUAAACCCCCUGUGUCAAUGUCAUUUAACUUCUACAAAACAAUUUUCAAAAAACCAGCAGUACUUUUUUCAUAAAAAAUUAGGGUCACACCUCCUGUUACCUACAGAAAACCUGCCUUAACUUUAUAUAGCUGCUGCACACAAAUUACUGCCGCGACGGGGCACAUGAGUGAAGUCCUUUCCCAGAGCUUUGGUCAGUUGCAGUGGGCUGGAGUAUGGUUCCCAGUCAUUAAAGCCCAACAGUGUAGCAUCUUGCUUUGCGGGUCAUUAAAAUCAGCCUCCUCUGCAAAUACUGCCUCCCUCUGCCAAGUACCAUAAGGGCACCUGCAAGUACAUCAUUGGGCAAACAAAAGACACGCCCAUCUCAGAACCCUGAAUCGCAAUAAACGGAUGGUGCAUGUCUUUUUGAAUCUGGGAUCUUGUUUUCUUCG